CCUACGGGAGGCAGCAGUAGGGAAUAUUGCUCAAUGGGGGCUACCCUGAAGCAGCAACGCCGCGUGGAGGAUGAAUGUCUUCGGAUUGUAAACUCCUUUUGUUAGAGAAGAUAAUGACGGUAUCUAACGAAUAAGCACCGGCUGACUCCGUGCCAGCAGCCGCGGUAAUACGGAGGGUGCAAGCGUUACUCGGAAUCACUGGGCGUAAAGGGCGCGUAGGCGGGUUAGCAAGUCAGAUGUGAAAUCCUAUGGCUUAACCAUAGAACUGCAUUUGAAACUGUUAUUCUAGAGUAUGGGAGAGGUAGGUGGAAUUCUUGGUGUAGGGGUAAAAUCCGUAGAGAUCAAGAGGAAUACUCAUUGCGAAGGCGACCUGCUAGAACAUAACUGACGCUGAUGCGCGAAAGCGUGGGGAGCAAACAGGAUUAGAUACCCGAGUAGUC
rnacentral:rRNA from 1 species